rnacentral:rRNA from 1 species
GAUGAACGCUGGCGGCGUGCUUAACACAUGCAAGUCGAACGGAAAGGCUCCUGCUUGCAGGGGUACUCGAGUGGCGAACGGGUGAGUAACACGUGGGUGAUCUUCCCUGCACUUCGGGAUAAGCCUGGGAAACUGGGUCUAAUACCGGAUAGGACGAUGGUGUGGAUUCCAUUGUGGAAAGUUUGUUCGGUGUGGGAUGAGCUCGCGGCCUAUCAGCUUGUUUGUGGGGUAAUGGCCUACCAAGGCGUGGACGGGUAGCCGGCCUGAGAGGGGGUACGGCCACACUGGGAAGGAGACACGCCAGCGACCAAUAGGGGGGACAGACGCGGGGAAUAUUGAACACCGAGCGGGACGUAGUUGCCGGGACGCGGCGUGGGCGAUGGCGGCUUUCGGGUUGUAAGCGCCUUUCGCUAGGGAGGACGAGCACGUGCAGGUAACAGAGGAAGAGGAGCCGCUUACCAACC